GGAAUUGUCGAUGGAACUGGGAGUAUUGGUGCUGCCGUGGGCCAGUAUCUGGUGUCUUUGAUCCAAGACAACCUAGGAUGGAUGUGGGUUUUCUACUUUUUCAUUCUCAUGACAAGUUGUACAAUUCUGUUUUUAUCU